AAGCACUAUUGCGCUUCUUCAUUUUUUUUUUUUUCUUCUCCAUUUCAAGCUAAGAGAAAGGAGGAAGAGAGGCAGAAAAGGAGUCAAAGAAGGACGGUGGAAAGGAGAGAGGAAGGAAAACGAAGGUUCCAGGAAAGACUCCAACCACCUGAGCAUGUGCAGGGCCUCCAGCUGCUACAUCCUGAAGUGUGAUCCUGUCGCUGUCACAGUUGAAGGAAGACUGUGUCCCAGCAGUGCCUUGACUAAGAGGCCUCUCUCAGAGAUACGAGGGUGGCAUCGGAUGGCGCUCCAGCUACCACAAGAAGCGCUGGCUGCUCCCUCUCCUCCUUCCCAGAACACUGACUUCUCCAGUUCUCCCAGUGGCAUACCAACUUCUACCCUUUCUCUAUCCCAUUUUCAGAUUUCCAGUUCUUACAAAAUUUCUUUGAGGCUCACCCAAGCUUAAAGCUGAUGAACCACAGAACAGGUUGGAACCAGAGCUGUGUCUUAAAAAUAGGAAUCAUUUCUAAAUUAAUUGACUUGAAGUCAAUACUUUCCCACCAUGAAGCCUAUUACAUAAAUGAAUAAAACUAUAGAGUAAUGAAUUAAAGCUAAUUUU
rnacentral:lncRNA from 1 species